GACGAACGCUGGCGGCGUGCUUAACACAUGCAAGUCGAACGGAAAGGCCCUGCUUUUGUGGGGUGCUCGAGUGGCGAACGGGUGAGUAACACGUGAGUAACCUGCCCUUGACUUUGGGAUAACUUCAGGAAACUGGGGCUAAUACCGGAUAGGAGCUCCUGCUGCAUGGUGGGGGCUGGAAAGUUUCGGCGGUUGGGGAUGGACUCGCGGCUUAUCAGCUUGUUGGUGGGGUAGUGGCUUACCAAGGCUUUGACGGGUAGCCGGCCUGAGAGGGUGACCGGCCACAUUGGGACUGAGAUACGGCCCAGACUCCUACGGGAGGCAGCAGUGGGGAAUAUUGCACAAUGGGCGGAAGCCUGAUGCAGCAACGCCGCGUGCGGGAUGACGGCCUUCGGGUUGUAAACCGCUUUCGCCUGUGACGAAGCGUGAGUGACGGUAAUGUGUAAAGAAGCACCGGCUAACUACGUG
rnacentral:rRNA from 1 species